rnacentral:rRNA from 1 species
AUUGAACGCUGGCGGCAGGCCUAACACAUGCAAGUCGAGCGGACGAAGGGAGCUUGCUCCUGGAUUCAGCAGCGGACGGGUGAGUAAUGCCUAGGAAUCUGCCUGGUAGUGGGGGAUAACGUCCGGAAACGGGCGCUAAUACCGCAUACGUCCUGAGGGAGAAAGUGGGGGAUCUUCGGACCUCACGCUAUCAGAUGAGCCUAGGUCGGAUUAGCUAGUUGGUGGGGUAAAGGCCUACCAAGGCGACGAUCCGUAACUGGUCUGAGAGGAUGACCAGUCACACUGGAACUGAGACACGGUCCAGACUCCUACGGGAGGCAGCAGUGGGGAAUAUUGGACAAUGGGCGAAAGCCUGAUCCAGCCAUGCCGCGUGUGUGAAGAAGGUCUUCGGAUUGUAAAGCACGUUAAGUUGGGAGGAAGGGCAGUAAGUUAAUACCUUGCUGUUUUGACGUUACCAACAGAAUAAGCACCGGCUAACUUCGUG